UGGGGGAUAUUGCACAAUGGGCGAAAGCCUGAUGCAGCGACGCCGCGUGGGGGAUGAAGGCCUUCGGGUUGUAAACUUCUUUUGCUCUGAACAAGGCAUGCUAAUGGGUGUGUUGAGUGUAGGGGUUGAUUAGCGCCGGCUAACUACGUGCCAGCAGCCGCGGUAAUACGUAGGGCGCGAGCGUUGUCCGGAAUUAUUGGGCGUAAAGGGCUUGUAGGUGGCUGGUUGAGUCUGUCGUGAAAGCUCAUGGCUUAACUGUGGGUUUGCGGUGGGUACGGGCUGGCUUGAGUGCAGUAGGGGAGGCUGGAAUUCCUGGUGUAGCGGUGGAAUGCGCAGAUAUCAGGAGGAAUACCGGUGGCGAAGGCGGGUCUCUGGGCUGUUACUGACACUGAGGAGCGAAAGCAUGGGGAGCGAACAGG
rnacentral:rRNA from 1 species